CACUUUGCGCAGUGGCAGUAUCGUAGCCAAUGAGGUUUAUCCGAGGCGCGAUUAUUGCUAAUUGGUAGAACUACGGUAGUUAAAAACUGCAAUUUGCAGAUAUAUGUACAUGAACAUGUAUAUAAACUUAACUGGAUAACUGAGUCAAGU
rnacentral:snRNA from 1 species